rnacentral:rRNA from 1 species
UACGGAGGAUCCGAGCGUUAUCCGGAUUUAUUGGGUUUAAAGGGUGCGCAGGCCGGAGAUUAAGUCGGCGGUGAAAUUUUGCAGCUCAACUGUAAAAGUGCCUUCGAAACUGGUUUCCUUGAGUGUAGAUGAAGUAGGCGGAAUUUGUGGUGUAGCGGUGAAAUGCAUAGUUAUCACGAGGAACUCCGAUUGCGCAUGCAGCUUACUAAACUACUACUGACGCUCAGGCACGAAGGCGUGGGGAUCAAACAGGAUUAGAUACCCUGGUA